UACGAAGGGGGCUAGCGUUGUUCGGAAUCACUGGGCGUAAAGGGCGCGUAGGCGGCUUUGUAAGUCGGGGGUGAAAGCCUGUGGCUCAACCACAGAAUGGCCCUCGAUACUGGACGGCUCGAGACCGGAAGAGGUUGGUGGAAUUGCGAGUGUAGAGGUGAAAUUCGUAGAUAUUCGCAAGAACACCGGUGGCGAAGGCGGCCAACUGGUCCGGAUCUGACGCUGAGGCGCGAAAGCGUGGGGAGCAAACAGG
rnacentral:rRNA from 1 species